rnacentral:rRNA from 1 species
UCAAGCAAGAAAGAGCACAAGGAGAAUGCCUUGGCACUAGGAGCCGAUGAAAGACGUGGUAAGCUGCGAAAAGCUUCGGGGAGGCGCAAACAGCCAUCGAUCCGGAGAUAUCUGAAUGGGGAAACCUACUUGAGCAAACCUCAAGUAUCCAUACGUGAAUCCAUAGCGUAUGGAAGGGAACGCUGUGAACUGAAACAUCUAAGUAGCAGUAGGAGGAGAAAGAAAACUCGAUUUCCUAAGUAGCGGCGAGCGAACGGGAAAGAGGCCAAACCGAAGGACCUGGUUCUUCGGGGUUGCGGACUGCAAUUAGCAUUGCUGAGAGAUAGACGAAUGGUUUUGGGAAAGCCAGCCGUAGACGGUGAAAGCCCGGUAGACGAAAUCUUGAAGCAGCGAGCAGGAUCCAGAGUACCACGAGACACGAGAAACCUUGUGGGAAGCCGGGGGGACCACCCCCCAAGCCUAAAUACUCCCUAGUGACCGAUAGUGAACCAGUACUGUGAAGGAAAGGUGAAAAGGACCCCGGGAGGGGAGUGAAAGAGAACCUGAAACCUUGUGCUUACAAACAGUCAAAGGACGCAAGUCUGAUGGCGUACUUUUUGUAGAACGGUCCGGCGAGUUACUAAUGCCAGCGAGGUUAAGUGGUCAGAAGCCACGGAGCCGAAGGGAAACCAAGUCUGAAUAGGGCGUAGAGUUGGUAUUAGUAGACCCGAAACCGGGUGACCUAUCCAUGUCCAGGUUGAAGGAACCGUAAAAGGUUUUGGAGGACCGAACACACAUGUGUUGAAAAACGUGGUGAUGAGGUGUGGAUAGCGGAGAAAUUCCAAUCGAACUCGGAGAUAGCUGGUUCUCCUCGAAAUAGCUUUAGGGCUAGCCUCGAGCUGGAGUCUAACGGAGGUAAAGCACUGAACUGACGCGGGGCCCAAAAAGGUUACCAACUCAUAUCAAACUAAGAAUGCCGUCAAGAUACCCUCGGGAGUCAGUCUGCGUGAGAUAAGUCGCGUGGACAAAAGGGAAAGAGCCCAGACCGACAGCUAAGGUCCCAAAGUACGUGUUAAGUGGAAAAGGAUGUGGGAUUUCAUAGACAACUAGGAUGUUGGCUUAGAAGCAGCCAUACAUUUAAAGAGUGCGUAAUAGCUCACUAGUCGAGAAAACCUGCGCCGAAAAUGUAACGGGGCUAAAACACGACACCGAAGCUACGGAUUCCUUACAAAGUAAGGAGUGGUAGAGGAGCAUCCUGCAAGGACGAAGCCAAAGUGAGAGCGAUGGUGGACGAAACAGGAGAGAGAAUGCCGGAAUGAGUAGCGAGAUACAUGUGAGAAACAUGUAGGCCGAAUAUCUAAGGAUUCCUGGGUAAAGCUAAUCUUCCCAGGGUUAGUCGGGGCCUAAGGCGAGGACGAAAGUCGUAGUCGAUGGAUAACAGGUUGAUAUUCCUGUACUACACAUAAUCAGAACUGUGGGGACGCAGGAGGAUAGGGAAACCGGGGAAUGGAAAGACCCGGUCAAGCGUAAAGCUGUGGGAGAUAGGCAAAUCCGUCUCCUGUAAGUGAAACGUGAUGAGGACUGAAAAAAAGUAAGGAAGUUUCCGAAUCCACACUGCCGAGAAAAGCCGCUAUUGCGUUAUGUGUACCCGUACCGUAAACCGACACAGGUAGAUGAGGAGAAAAUCCACAGGCCGACGGGAGAAGUGUUGUUAAGGAACUCGGCAAAAUGACCCCGUAACUUCGGGAUAAGGGGAGCCUCGCAAGAGGCCGCAGAAAAGAGGCACAAGCAACUGUUUAGCAAAAACACAGGUCUAUGCGAAACCGUAAGGUGAAGUAUAUGGGCUGACGCCUGCCCGGUGCUGGAAGGUUAAAAGGAGAGGUCAGCGCAAGCGAAGCUUUGAAUUCAAGCCCCAGUAAACGGCGGCCGUAACUAUAACGGUCCUAAGGUAGCGAAAUUCCUUGUCAGGUAAGUUCUGACCCGC